rnacentral:rRNA from 2 species
AAAUUGAAGAGUUUGAUCAUGGCUCAGAUUGAACGCUGGCGGCAGGCCUAACACAUGCAAGUCGAGCGGAAACGAGUUAUCUGAACCUUCGGGGGACGAUAACGGCGUCGAGCGGCGGACGGGUGAGUAAUGCCUAGGAAAUUGCCCUGAUGUGGGGGAUAACCAUUGGAAACGAUGGCUAAUACCGCAU